rnacentral:lncRNA from 1 species
GUUGGCUACUUUAUUUUCAAUGUGCUUUCCAUGAAUACUAAGUGUCUUUUAAUAGUACAGCUGCUAUGAAGUGUUUGUGGUAAAUGAUGAGUUUUUUUCAUAAAAGAUGUUGCUGUCUUAUUGACUCCUUUCCCACAUCACCUUUUAUUCAUAUAAUCAUCAUUUAUAUAUGAUUGCAAGUUAUGGUUGGUAACUUAAAUUACUUCUAGGCUCUUUUAUAUAAUUAGCUGCUAUUC